GUUUUAGCACCUUAUUUCAAAUGUUGCUAAAUCCUAAACAUAUAUUAUUAAGCAUUACCGGAAAAUGGCACACGAAGUAAAGUAUUACACAAAUUAAUCAUUUAACUUAUGUAAAAAAGAGUCUCUAAUGAAGGGAUAUAAUUUAAAUGCUAGUUCAACAGAGCCACAAAAGCAAAUCCAAUGGACAAAGAGGCAAAGAGGCCACUAUAAUGAGAGUUUGCAUUGGCUUUUGUAGAGCUGGAAUAGAGUUGUUGUAUGGCUAAGUUAUCUGAUUCUGUUAUCUGCACCUUCCUUUGUUGCCAUGGCAAUAUUGUUGGGUACAUAAUAGACUCCUUAUCAGAAGAGUGAUCAAGUCCUAGUAGAUGACCUAUUUGAUGCAUCACCGCAGUCAACAAAUCGAAUUGCUGAAAUUGCCAGUCCCAAAAUUUGGUGUAAGUUGGCAACACCCAAGACUUUGAACCGUUUAGACGUAACAUACCUGAUUUCACAUUUGAAUCUAGUUUCAAGCUGAUGAAAGAGUCACUCACCACAACAUCAUCAACCGCAUCAUUGUAAUUAAUAUUGUAGAAUCCAAUCUUAAUCUCAGCAUCCUCAUAUGAUGUCGUCUCGCUAAAAUUUAGGACCCUAGUAGUCUGCGACCAUCGUGUGAAGGCAUUUCUAAACACCUUGAUAAUGUCGAUUGGGAUUCGGUUGUCCGGAAGAAAACCAUACGUAAGCUUUUUCGUGCCCUUGGGAAACCACUUGUUUCCUUUCGGAAAUGAUACAUUACUUCCAUCAUGAAAGCCGUACUCGUAUUUCAUAUCAGGAAUACCACAUCUUGGAAACGAGAAUUGUUGUAAAGUCUCGGUGUUUAGGUGACCAGUAACUUGGAGAUUGAAAAAUUGUUGGUAGGUCUUAAUAGCGGAUAUUGUUUCCUUGUCUAGAACGUCAUCAAAGUCCAGCGGAGAUCGUCGGAAGUAGCCGAAAGUGUUCAAAUGUUUUUUGAUUUGAGAAUGAGACAAUUGAGCUAUAUAAUAACCUAAAACGGUUGUAUUGACAAUGAUGAGGAGGAGGGAUAAGAACAAUUGAAAUUGAUAUAACUUCAUCAUGUUCAUUAAUGAUCAAUGCAUAGAUAAAAUAUGAACUGAAAAUAGGGCAAGAAUUAGAGGGUUUAUAAAAUAAAAGUAAAUGAAAUAAAAUAUAGAGAAAAACUUUUAAAUUGGUAGUUUAGACAUCAAAAGUGUUUAUAAUUCAAUUUUAUAUUUUGAUGGUGACAGUUUGUAAUUGUUGUUUCAUAUGCAACAAUUAGAGGUUAACAAUUCAAACAUUUUUUAACAUUAAUAUACAUUAGUGUAUGAUUUCAAAUAUGUAAAAGAACAAGUGAUCCUUGAAAAACUGAAGUUAUAAUAAGUAGUAAUUGAAUCAACCAAUAACUAGCACGUUGUUUUUCUUUUUAAGGUAUUGUUUUUCACCAGUCAAGGUCCAAUUCUAAGACAUGACUGCUCAAUAAGCUACCUGAUUCAAACGCAGUACACUAACGUCAACAUAAAACCACAAAAUAGAGAAUGGCAGGCAGAGACAAUAUGGCCCCUUUGAUCACUAUCACAACCCGAAUCACCGCCUCUAAAAGGAGUCACCCAUUCUAAAAAAAAUAGUACACAUUCUCAAUCCAAAAAAACCUCGAAACACCUUUAGCUCUUACCGAGCGUCGAAGUAUUUUUCUAGAUAUCCAGCUACUCCGCUACACCGCACCUACUCAACUCAUCAUCAUCUUCAUCUUCAUCUUCAUCGAUCUUAGAUAGAUCAACUAUGUGACAUUGUUAUUCAAGUUAUUUUAGAAUUGUUAUUAGCCACCGAUGCGGAGUGUCCUUAUAACUAUUGCAAAUCACCAUAGCGGCGUAAAAUAAUUUUAUGUUUGCACCACAUGUUUUAUACAUUUUUAAAACUUUUAUUUGGCAGAUUUAUUUUUAAUGCAUUGUACCAUUUUUAAUUCAUUAAUGCAUGUACCAUUUUUAAUUCAUUUUUAAAGAAGAUAAAUUAGCCUACUGAAAUUGACACUUGAGAGAGUCAGCUAAUCUAUAUUGGCGACUCAAGGAGCAACCAUUCAUGGCCAUUAUGGAGAAAUCCUUUAUCAAAGAGAUAUUUCAAUUGAUCUUAUAUUCAUCACCGUAGGAAUUGGGUUCAAGCUUUCUCCAACGCCCUCUCAUCAAUGGACUCCUGACGUAUAUGAAGGAGUUCGGUUAGUUCGAGAAAAUUCAUGAGUGGGUAUAUAAUAUAGGUCUUUAUGUUCCUUCAUCUGGCUUAUGUUAUAACCUAAAACUUUGAAAUGAGCACACUCCAAGGUUUUAUCAUUCCAAUAGAACCUUUUAGCAACGUUGGUUUUAUCUCGGAGGCUAAGAUGUUACUAAAUCAAAUUCAUUACAUUUUUGUAUGGCUUUGUAUCAUUUUUCAAAUGUUGCUAAAUAUCCCAACAAUAUUGUAGUGAAUUUUGCACUCCAAUGGAUAUCUAAUCAAUUACAAUAAUCACGUAUCAUGAUACCCCAUAACAAACUAUUUAACAUUAACCGAAAAUGACACAUGAAGUAAAGUACACAAAUUAAUUAUUUAACUUACGUAAAAGUGAGUCCCUAAUCAAAUGAUGUAUUAAUUAGAAAGCCAAGUUCAUCAGAGCCACGAAAGCAAAACCAAGGGACAAAGAGGUAUCAAAAGUAGACUCAAAAAGUUUGAAGCACCCACUAUGAUCAGAGUCUGGAUUGGCUUUGACAGAGUUGGUGUAGAGUUGUUGAAUAGCUAAGUUAUCUGAAACUGUUAUCUGCACCUUCCUUUGUUGCAAUGGCACUAUUGUUGGGUACAUAAUAGACUCCUCAUCAGACGAGUGAUCAAGUCCUAGUAGAUGACCUAUUUGAUGCAUGGCAACAGUCUCCAAGUCGAAUUGGUGAAAUUCCCAGUACCAAAAGUAGGUAGUUGGCAACACCCAGUACUUUGAAGCGUCUAGACGUAUCAAACCUGACUUCGCCUUCGAAUCAAGUUUCAAGCUGAUGAAAGAGUCACCCACAACAACAUCAUCAACUGCAUCAUUGUAGGUAAUAUUGUAGAAUCCAAUCUUAAUGUCAGCAUCAUCGUAUGAUGUUGUCUCGCUAAAAUUUAGGACCCUAGUGGUCUGCGACCAUCGUGUGAAGGCAUUUCUAAACACUUUGAUCAUGUCAGUUGAGAUUUGGCUCUCCGGAUGAAAACCAUACGUAAGCUUUUUCGUGCCCUUGGGAAACCACUUGUUUCCUUUCGGUAAUGAUAUAUUAAUUGCGUCAGUGAAGCUGUACUCAAAAUUCAUAUCAGGAACACCACAUCUUGGUAACAAGAGUAGUUGUAAAGUCUCGGAGUCUAGGUGACCAGUAACCUGGAGAUUGAAAAAUUGUUGGUAAGCCUUAAUAGCGGAUAUUGUUUCCUUGUCUAGAACGUCAUCAAAGUCCAGCGGAGAUCGUUGGAAGUAGCCGAAAGUGUCCAAAUGUUGUUUGAUUUGAGAUAGGCCUUCAAUCUCUUUUGUUGGUUGUUCAUCUGAUGGAGGAGAUUGUUUGAUCUUGUCUAAUGUCUUCCCUAUUUGUUUGCCAAGAGAAGGAGACAAUUGAGGGACAUAACCCGAAAAGGUUGUAUUGACAAUGAUAAGGAAGAGGGAUAAGAGAAAUUCAAAUUGAUAUAACUUCAUCAUGUUCAUUAAUGCAUAGACAAAAUUGUGAGUGUAUAUGCUUAUGAAAUGAAAAAAGGGCAAGAAUUGGAGGGUUUAUAAAAACUUUGAAAUUGGUAGUUUAGACAUCAAAAGUCUUUAUAAUUCAAUUUUAUAUUUUGAUGAUGACGGUUUAAUUUGUAAUUGUUAUUUCAUAUGCAAUAAUUAGUGGUUAACAAUUCUGAUAUUUUUUGACAUUGUUCUACAUUAGUAUAUGAUUUCAAAUAUGUUAAAGAACAAGUGAUCCUUGAAACAUACAUACAAGAAGUCUACCAAGUUUGGUCCAAAGAAAAGCAGAAGUACUAUGUAGUAACGAACAGACAAUAUGAACGUUUGCCUCUUGUGCCGUUAAGACGACAGAAGCAAAUCCAAAGGUUAAACUGAAUCAACCAAUAACUACUUCUAAAAAUGGAUAAUUUGAUUGUAAACAAUAUUGUUUUUCUGUUUCAGAAAAUAUUGUUUUGCUUUUACCCCUAAAAAAUACUAUCGUUUUACUUUUAUAUUUGAGAGAUAAGAUAUAAUGUUAACGAGCGUCCCAGUACACUCUUUAAACACUUUAAUUAGUAAGUUCUUUAUGAAAAGUUGUGUAUUAAGUUCAUUGGAAAUUGUAAUAGUUGACUUUUUAAAAGAAUAAUUGAUAAAUUUGGUAUGCUUGAAGAGUGCUUCGGAAACACUCGUUAACAAGACUAAUUAAUUAAUGUUGGCCUCCUAAUCCUACAAAGUUCACUAUAGCUAAAAAUCUAUUUCGAUAAUUGGUGGAAGCAAUUGUUGGCCUGAUUACAGACCGAACUCGGACAAACAUAGCAUUUUUGUUAAUAGGGUUUAGAAUAGAAAACUUCUCUUUUCUUUUUAAAUAAAGAAGUUUGAUUAUAAACAAAACUCAAUCAAUUAUAUUCUAUGAAAUAAUAUCAUGAAUAUAUGUUGCGAGGAAUUAAAAUUUGUUUAAUUAUGAUUAGUUUUUUUAUUGAUUUUCUACAUACUUGUUUAAAAUAUUAUAAGAAAGUUUCUCCGCAAGUUAGCUCAAAAUUUCAUUUUUAGGUGUGAAUUUACAAUAGCUUUAUCUUGAAAUAUUGGCUUUUAAAAUAUUUCAUAUUUAAUUCGAUACACGUUAAAUUAUAAUUAUUGUUAUGUUCUUAAAAUAUCUGUAAAAAUUCAUUUAAAAAUAUAAAAGUUUAACAAUAAUUGAACAAAUUUUAAUUUAACAAGGACCAACGCAUACUUUUAGUUAUUGUAAAAUCAAAAUUUGUUUAAUUACACUUAAACUUUUAAAUUUUUAAAAGAGUAUUUACGUACAUAUUUAGAAAAUUAUACAAAGUUCAUCUGCAAAUAGGGAUGGCAAUGGGUACCCAAUGGGUAGGGUACUACAAUGCCCGUCCCCAUAACCGCAUUUAUAAAAAAUACCCGUACCCGUGCCCGUACCCUCGUGGGCAACAACUUUAGUCCCCUUCCUCAUACCCUAUGGGUACUUAAGUGCCCAUACCCGCACUUUAACUAUGAAAAACCAAAAAAAACAUCACAAAUGAAAUAAAACUACGAUCCCAAUUAUUUUUUAAAAUUAACUCAUAAAAUAAUAUGAAUCGUGGUAUUUAGUCAAAUAGAAAACAUCCGAAAUAUUCCUAAAAAAUUAUACACCGGCAUGAUGAAGUUGUUAUUGUAUUAAGUAGUUGUUUGGUUUAAGUUUAGGUUUAGGCUUAAAUAGCUAAAUUAAUUAAUUAAUUAUACAUAAAAAAUAAAUAAAUAAUUUAUGAUAUUAUAUAAAUAUGUAUAUGCGGGUCUGCGGGUCUGGGCAGUAUAGUACCCUUACCCGUGUCCAUACCCAUUUAAUUUUGUGGGUAUUACCCGUACCCGGACCCAUAAAAGUGGGGUUUUACCCUACCCAUUGUGGGUAUUUUUUGCGGGUAUCCAUUGAAUCUAGGUCCAAUUGCCAUCCCUAUCCGCAAAAAAAGUAGAUUCAAUCUCAUUUGAGAUUGAAUCAACUUCGUAUUCCAAUUGUGCUAGACUCGAAUUCACGUUACAUCGAUGUGGAAACUGGAAUGGCGUGGUGUUUUGGUCACGUUUGAAUUUAAAAGAACCCCGCUCUUUCUUCUCAUGGAAUUGAAAUGUUUCUUUUUAUUGUCGUGUUUCUUGAUGAAGUUUUUCUAAAUGUAGCAAAACUAAAAUUGGGCUUCUUUAGUGAAAUGAUUGAGCUCAAAUAAGUUAAUACGACCACUUAAGGAAGAAUUCUUAGGGAGAAUCCAAGUUCGAUUUUUUUAUGAAAUAAUUUUUUAUCAGACUUUAUGUACCUCCUGAUCAAAUUCUGGAGUUAUAGAGCCCCCUUCCAUAGAAACGAGAGGGAUAACCCAAUUUUAUUUUGGGAUUCUGAAAGUAAAUUUGUUUGUGAAAACUUGCAAGUUUAAGCAAUUUUAGUUGUGAUUUCACUAAAAACAAUUUUAGUUCCGAUUUAACACAAAAACCAUACCUAGAAACGUAGACCUGGUGUAGUAUACGGUUAAAAACACAAUUUAACAUUCCAAUAGAACCUUUUAGUAACGUAGGUUUUAUCUUACGGUGGCUAAGAUGUUACUACAUCAAAUUCAUUACAUUUUAGUACGGUUUAGUAUCAUUUUUCAAAUGUUGCUAAAUAUCCUAACAAUACUGUAGUGACUUUUGCACUCCAAUGGAUAUGUAAUCAAUUACAAUAAUCAUAUAUCAUGAUACCGCAUAACAAACUAUUUAACAUCAACCGAAAAUGAUACAUGCAGUAAAGUACACAAAUUAAUUAUUUAACUUACGUAAAAGUGAGUCCCUAAUCAAAUGAUGUAUUAAUUAGAAAGCCAAAUUCAUCAGAGCCACGAAAGCAAAACCAAGGGACAAAGAGUUCAGAAGACCAGAACUUGACUCAAAGAAGUCUCCACUAUAAUCAAAGAAGCCAAGUUCAUCACGGUCUUGAUUGGUUUGUUUGGUGUAGAGUUGUUGUAUGGCUUGGUUAUCUGAAACUGUUAUCUGCACCUUCUUUUGAUGCAAUGGCACUAUUGUUGGGUACAUAAUAGACUCCACAUCAGAAGAGUGAUCAAGUCCUAGUAGAUGACCUAUUUGAUGCAUGGCCACAGUCUCCAAGUCCCAGACCUUUGAAGCUUCCAGACGUAUCGUAAAACUUCUCAAGUUGAUGAAAAAGUCACUCACCACAACAUCAAU
rnacentral:lncRNA from 1 species